rnacentral:tRNA from 1 species
UGGGAUACUAGCUCAGUUGGUUAGAGCACCGGACUUUUAAUCCGGGUGUCCGAAGUUCGAGUCUUCGGUGUCCCACCAA